rnacentral:lncRNA from 1 species
GUCACACUCGUCGCGGGUGCACUUGCGGUCUCCCGGGUUCCGGGCGCCGCCGCAGCAGUUCCCGUUCUGCAGCUCCCCGUUCACGUUCUGCAUGGACAGGAUCUCCAACUCGAACUGACCCGAGGCCCCACACACCUGCCGGCGAGGGAAGGAGCGAUGACACAAGCGACAUCUUGGAAGAGGCAAAACUUGAGACAGGUCUUCAAGGAUUGGUGCCAUCUGGACAGGUUGAAGAGGAGUAGGAGGGCUUUCGGAUGUGGAGAAUGGCAUGCACAAAAGCACGGAGGUGAGAAUGCACAUAUGUGUCUGGGACUUCUAAAACAGGGCAGCCUGAUUGGAUUGGAGC